AUUAUCUGGAGACACAGCUCUGUAGUCCUCCAGCAUGGCAAGGAUCCAUCUCUUAAUCCCUCUCCUCACUCUGUACACAGGCUCUCUGGCCUCCUAUGAGCUGAUUCAGCCUCCCUCAGCAUCAGUGGCCCUUGGACAGACAGCCACCAUCACCUGCUCUGGACAUGCACUGCCAAAGAACUAUGCACAUUGGUAUCAGCAGAAACCUGGCCAGGCCCCAGUGCAGGUGAUAUACAAAGAUAGUGAACGUCCCUCGGGGAUUCCUGACCGAUUCUCUGGGUCCAGCUCUGGGACAACAGCAACUCUGACCAUCAGCCAAGUACAGCCUGAAGAUGAGGCUGACUAUUACUGUUUGUCAUCUGAGAGUGAUGAUGCUCCUCACAGUGACUCAGGCAGAUGGGGAAGUGAGACAUAA